CAAACCGAGCUGAACAUGUCCAUGUAAGAACUUGUACAGUUGUAUGGUGCUGCCCUUGCAUGCCUUUUGGAAGGUCCAGGCUUUGCAACUGUAACAAAUACAAACCUGCCAUGGAAACACCUAACAGAAAAACCAAUUUUCAUUAGAUGAAAAAGGCUUUUAUGGCCUAAAAAAAACUAUAGUGAGAAAUGCGACCUAUUACCGAUGAUUCAUACCAUUCAGUCCAUCCAUCACUUUCACAGCCGAUUGAGCAGAUUCUUUUGUAAUCCAUGAAAAUCCCAGAGGUUGACUGGAAAUUUUGUUUCUCAUCGUUUUCACUGCAAGAUGAUGAUUAGCAUAAGAGAAGAGUAAUCAACGAUUAUAUUGGCAGGUCACUUUCACUAUAAUAUGACGAUUAGCAUAAGAGAAGAGUAAUCAAUGAUUAUAUUGGCAGGAAUUUGUAACAUCAGAAUGAAUAUGUUUGGAGCAACUUCAAACAAAAAAUGAUUAUCCAUGUGAAGGAAUCACGGCAGUUAUCACUGUAUGAUGUUAAACAGCACAAUGGAGUCAUAUUCUUUCUUUUUAAAGGACAGAAAACUUUCACUUCCUUCAAGGUAUGAACUUAGAAAGUAGGUGGCCGCCACACAAGCUUAAAGAGACUUGGUACCUUUGAAAUCAACAAAAGAUAGCUUGAAUUUAAGACACCCUUUUGACCAAAAAGAAUACUACUACCUCUUUAUGUUCUUUCUCUAUUGUUAUGGCAACCAUUAAAUCAAAUAUCGGUUUUAACCACCCUUUUUCCAAGCUUGUUCAGAGGACAAUUCUCUGCCCGAUCAAUUGAGUGAGUACAACAACAUGCUUGCCCUUUUUCACAAAUAUAAGGCUUGUUGAUAGUAGUUCAGGUUCAUAUUGUUCUAGUUUGGAUAACUAAUUCAACUAUCACAAGACCAACAUUUUUGCCUAAAACAUCAUAACACUCACCAACUCCGUAUCUCUGAAUUAGCAAACAAGUCCCAUGGACUAAAAUUCCCCAUUCAUACAAGUCCUUGCAAGUAUUUUUUUUAAGUAAUUUCACUCAUUCCAAAUUAGCAAGAUUCAAAUAAUAGCAUACAUUAUGAAAAUGGUCCUCUGUGAAAUUGUACAUUAUUUCAAAAUAAAAGACAUUUAUGAAUUUUGUUGUUGAAUAAGCAAUUCAGAUAAUCUAAUGAGAAGCUAAUCUUUCUGGGAGUUACUUCUGAACACAUUGAAAGGAGAGAGAAUUUUGGAAGAUCCUUACAUUAGAACUUGUAUGGUGCUGCCUUCACAUGCCUUUUGGAAGGUCCAGGCUUAGCAAUUUUAACAAAUACAAACCUGCCAUGAAAAAACUGAACAGGAAACCAAUUUUUAAUUGAUGAAAAGGGCUUUAUUGCCUCAAAAAAUUUAGUGCGAAACACAAAAUAUUAUCA
rnacentral:lncRNA from 1 species